UACGUAAGGUGCGAGCGUUAAUCGGAAUUACUGGGCGUAAAGCGUGCGCAGGCGGUUUUGUAAGCCAGAUGUGAAAUCCCCGGGCUUAACCUGGGAAUGGCAUUUGGGACUGCAAGGCUGGAGUGUGGCAGAGGAGACUGGAAUUCCUGGUGUAGCAGUGAAAUGCGUAGAUAUCAGGAGGAACACCGGUGGCGAAGGCGGGUCUCUGGGCCGAUACUGACGCUGAGGAGCGAAAGCCAGGGGAGCAAACGGG
rnacentral:rRNA from 1 species